UAAUCAAUAGUCUUUUAAUUGGAGACUGGAAUGAACGGCUAGAUAAAAAGUUUACUGUCUAUAUAAUAAAUCUUGAAUUUUACUUUUAAGUGAGAAGGCUUAAAUAUAUUAAAGUGACGAUAAGACCCUAUAAAACUUUAUAAUAAAUUAUGAUUAUAUUAAAUUUUAAAUCAAAAUAUAUUUCAUAUAUUACUAUUUAGUUGGGGCGACUGAGAUAUAAAAAAUCUGUCUUUAGUAAAAAAUACUUAUAAUUAGAUCAAGAUCCUUUAUUAAGGAUUAAAAGGCUAAGUUACUUUAGGGAUAACAGCGUGAUUUUUCUUAAGAGUUCUUAUCGACAGAAUAAGUUGCGACCUCGAUGUUGAAUUAAAUUUUCUUUUAGGUGCAGGAGUUUAAAAAGUAGGUCUGUUCGACCUUUAAAAAUUUACGUGAUC
rnacentral:rRNA from 1 species